rnacentral:rRNA from 1 species
GACGAACGCUGGCGGCGUGCUUAACACAUGCAAGUCGAACGGAAAGGCCCUGCUUUUGUGUGGUGCUCGAGUGGCGAACGGGUGAGUAACACGUGAGUAACCUGCCCUUGACUUUGGGAUAACUUCAGGAAACUGGGGCUAAUACCGGAUAGGAGCUCCUGCUGCAUGGUGGGGGUUGGAAAGUUUCGGCGGUUGGGGAUGGACUCGCGGCUUAUCAGCUUGGUGGUGGGGUAGUGGCUUACCAAGGCUUUGACGGGUAGCCGGCCUGAGAGGGUGACCGGCCUCAUUGGGACUGAGAGACGGCGCAGACGCCUACGGGAGGCAGCAGUGGGGAAUAUUGCACAAUGGGCGGAAGCCUGAUGCAGCAACGCCGCGUGCGGGAUGACGGCCUUCGGGUUGUAAACCGCUUUCGCCUGUGACGAAGCGUGAGUGACGGUAAUGGGUAAAGAAGCACCGGCUAACUACGUG